rnacentral:rRNA from 1 species
GACGAACGCUGGCGGCGUGCUUAACACAUGCCAGUCGAACGGAAAGGCCCUGCUUUUGUGGGGUGCUCGAGUGGCGAACGGGUGAGUAACACGUGAGUAACCUGCCCUUGACUUUGGGAUAACUUCAGGAAACUGGGGCUAAUACCGGAUAGGAGCUCCUGCUGCAUGGUGGGGGUUGGAAAGUUUCGGCGGUUGGGGAUGGACUCGCGGCUUAUCAGCUUGUUGGUGGGGUAGUGGCUUACCAAGGCUUUGACGGGUAGCCGGCCUGAGAGGGUGACCGGCCACAUUGGGACUGAGAUACGGCCCAGACUCCUACGGGAGGCAGCAGUGGGGAAUAUGCACAAUGGGCGGAAGCCUGAUGCAGCAACGCCGCGUGCGGGAUGACGGCCUUCGGGUUGUAAACCGCUUUCGCCUGUGACGAAGCGUGAGUGACGGUAAUGGGUAAAGAAGCACCGGCUAACUACGUG